rnacentral:rRNA from 1 species
GUACACGCUGUGACUAGCAUAUCAAUAAGCGGAGGAAAAGAAACUAACUAGGAUUCCUUCAGUAACGGCGAGUGAAGCGGGAAGAGCUCAAAUUUGAAAUCUUCAAGGUUUCUACCUUGACGAAUUGUAGUUUAAAGAAGUGUUUUCUGUUGAAGUUUUGGUAAAAGUUCUUUGGAAUAGGACAUCAUAGAGGGUGAGAAUCCCGUAUUUGACCAUUAUUUCCAGCUUUGUGAUACACUUUCAAAGAGUCGGAUUGUUUGGGAAUGCAGUCCAAAAUAGGUGGUAAAUUUCAUCUAAAGCUAAAUACUGGCGAGAGACCGAUAGCGAACAAGUACCGUGAGGGAAAGAUGAAAAGAACUUUGAAAAGAGAGUUAAACAGUACGUGAAAUUGUCAAAAGGGAAGCGUUUGACACCAGUGUUGUUUUCUCGAAAAUCAAUUAAAAAAGGCAGGAUUUUGUGUUGUAUUGACUUUAUCAGCUUUCUGCACUCUUUUCUUGUCUUUUUUAAUGCACUUUUCGUUUAACAAGUCAACAUCAAUUUCUUUUGUUGUAAAAGGGUCAUUGGAAGGUGGCUUUCUUUUCGGAGAAAGUGUUUAUAGCCUUUGGCCUCUGCAAUCGGAGAGAUUGAGGUCUGCAGCGUAGAUCCUUCGGGGUUAGAUACAUUUGUGCUAAGUUAUAGCCUUUCAUAGACAACUUGUUGACUAUGAUCAGUCAUGUAGCUUACUCGCUUAUGCUAUUUUACCUACGCUUAGGAUGUUGAAGACUCUACAGAGAUA